rnacentral:rRNA from 1 species
AUUGAACGCUGGCGGCAGGCUUAACACAUGCAAGUCGAGCGGGGGAAGGUAGCUUGCUACCGGACCUAGCGGCGGACGGGUGAGUAAUGCUUAGGAAUCUGCCUAUUAGUGGGGUACAACAUCUCGAAAGGGAUGCUAAUACCGCAUACGUCCUACGGGAGAAAGCAGGGGAUCUUCGGACGUUGCGCUAAUAGAUGAGCCUGAGUCGGAUUAGCUAGUUGGUGGGGUAAAGGCCUACCAAGGCGACGAUCUGUAGCGGGUCUGAGAGGAUGAUCCGCCACACUGGGACUGAGACACGGCCCAGACUCCUACGGGAGGCAGCAGUGGGGAAUAUUGGACAAUGGGGGGAACCCUGAUCCAGCCAUGCCGCGUGUGUGAAGAAGGCCUUAUGGUUGUAAAGCACUUUAAGCGAGGAGGAGGCUACUCUAGUUAAUACCUAGGGAUAGUGGACGUUACUCGCAGAAUAAGCACCGGCUAACUCUGUGCCAGCCGCCGCGGUAA